GAUGAACGCUGGCGGCGUGCCUAAUACAUGCAAGUCGAGCGAACGGACGAGAAGCUUGCUUCUCUGAUGUUAGCGGCGGACGGGUGAGUAACACGUGGAUAACCUACCUAUAAGACUGGGAUAACUUCGGGAAACCGGAGCUAAUACCGGAUAAUAUUUUGAACCGCAUGGUUCAAAAGUGAAAGACGGUCUUGCUGUCACUUAUAGAUGGAUCCGCGCUGCAUUAGCUAGUUGGUAAGGUAACGGCUUACCAAGGCAACGAUGCAUAGCCGACCUGAGAGGGUGAUCGGCCACACUGGAACUGAGACACGGUCCAGACUCCGACGGGAGGCAGCAGUAGGGAAUCUUACGCAAAGGGCGAAAGCCUGACGGAGCAACGCCGCGUGAGUGAUGAAGGUCUUCGGAUCGUAAAACUCUGUUAUUAGGGAAGAACAUAUGUGUAAGUAACUGUGCACAUCUUGACGGUACCUAAUCAGAAAGCCACGGCUAACUACGUG
rnacentral:rRNA from 1 species